UUCCGCUGUCAAUGAAAUCGUCUUUUGUAUUGUUGUUCCAAACUGCAACACUUAUCUCUCUAAGGCCUUCAAUUAACGAAAACACAAACUUUUCUUGGAAUACUGGAGUAUUAUGACUAUCUAUACACACACACAAAAAAAACGAAAUUAGCAUAACUCACUAUAACUCUAUAGAAGCCUCAAAAAUAUAAAGAGAAAUUAAAGGGGUUGAAUUUGAUAUUUACGUUUGGAGAGAGAGAGUUUGCAGAAACUGUGGUUUUAUAUUUCUUAACUUGAGAGAGGGGUAAGGUUGCUAGGGUUUUGAGGGUAAGGUUGCUAGGGUUUUGAGGUGUUAUAAUGUUUUUAUUUUUAUUUUUAUUUUUUAUUUUUUAAAUAUUGUGCUGACGUGGAAAAUUGUGGUGUCAGCAGAGGCUUCGGUUUUAUAUAUAUAUAUAUAUAGAU